AAGGUGGUCAUAAAAAUAAUCGGUUAUCACUUCUUCAUUCCAUCUUUGCUAACAGCAGUUAGGUGCACACCAAAGAGAGGGAGAGAUGGUUUCGCUUAAGCUCCAGAAACAACUCUCGGCAAGUGUUCUAAAGUGUGGAAAGUGAAAGGUUUGGCUUGAUCCAAAUGAAGUCAACAAGAUCUCCAUGGCCAACGCCUUCGUAAUAUUAAUCAUUUUUAAGUGGAGGAACCCAACCGUGAUUCACUCUUGCUCUCCUGCACCUCACAUAAAGGAAGCCAAGAGAAAGGGGCGUCAUUUUUCACAUUCUCAAUCUAGUGGGAAAAAAUGGAUUAAGGAAGGAGAUGAUGAUUGAACAGUGAUAUGUCAAAAAUAUGACUUGAUGGGCACAAUCAGCUGUUGUUAAGAAAUUUAAUGUUUAAGAGAUUAAAAUGUAAGCGUUUUCUUUUAACUGUAGUGACUAAAUCAUAAAAAUUUUUAUUUGAACAAUAAAAAAAAACUGUUUUAAAAA